rnacentral:rRNA from 1 species
AGAGUUUGAUCCUGGCUCAGGAUGAACGCUGGCGGCGUGCUUAACACAUGCAAGUCGAACGAAGCACCUUGAUUUGAUUCUUCGGAUGAAGAUCUUGGUGACUGAGUGGCGGACGGGUGAGUAACGCGUGGGUAACCUGCCUCAUACAGGGGGAUAACAGUUAGAAAUGACUGCUAAUACCGCAUAAGACCACAGCACCGCAUGGUGCAGGGGUAAAAACUCCGGUGGUAUGAGAUGGACCCGCGUCUGAUUAGGUAGUUGGUGGGGUAACGGCCUACCAAGCCGACGAUCAGUAGCCGACCUGAGAGGGUGACCGGCCACAUUGGGACUGAGACACGGCCCAAACUCCUACGGGAGGCAGCAGUGGGGAAUAUUGCACAAUGGGGGAAACCCUGAUGCAGCGACGCCGCGUGAGCGAUGAAGUAUUUCGGUAUGUAAAGCUCUAUCAGCAGGGAAGAAAAUGACGGUACCUGACUAAGAAGCACCGGCUAAAUACGUGCCAGCAGCCGCGGUAAUACGUAUGGUGCAAGCGUUAUCCGGAUUUACUGGGUGUAAAGGGAGCGUAGACGGAGUGGCAAGUCUGAUGUGAAAACCCGGGGCUCAACCCCGGGACUGCAUUGGAAACUGUCAAUCUAGAGUACCGGAGAGGUAAGCGGAAUUCCUAGUGUAGCGGUGAAAUGCGUAGAUAUUAGGAGGAACACCAGUGGCGAAGGCGGCUUACUGGACGGUAACUGACGUUGAGGCUCGAAAGCGUGGGGAGCAAACAGGAUUAGAUACCCUGGUAGUCCACGCCGUAAACGAUGA